UAAUCUAAUAACUAGAAAGUAAAGGACAAGAGAGAAGGGUAUGCUGUAGUUAAUGAAUGUUCUUGUAUUCAUAUGAUAGGGAAAAACACAAGCCAAGCUUAGUAUAUUGGAAUAAAGGUAAAGCUAUCUCGUACCAGACAAUCC